rnacentral:rRNA from 1 species
GACGAACGCUGGCGGCGUGCCUAAUACAUGCAAGUUGAGCGCUGAAGGUUGGUACUUGUACCAACUGGAUGAGCAGCGAACGGGUGAGUAACGCGUGGGGAAUCUGCCUUUGAGCGGGGGACAACAUUUGGAAACGAAUGCUAAUACCGCAUAAAAACUUUAAACACAAGUUUUAAGUUUGAAAGAUGCAAUUGCAUCACUCAAAGAUGAUCCCGCGUUGUAUUAGCUAGUUGGUGAGGUAAAGGCUCACCAAGGCGAUGAUACAUAGCCUACCUGAGAGGGUGAUCGGCCAAAUUGGGACGGAGACACGGCCCAAACUCCUACGGGAGGCAGCAGUAGGGAAUCUUCGGCAAUGGACGAAAGUCUGACCGAGCAACGCCGCGUGAGUGAAGAAGGUUGUCGGAUCGUAAAACUCUGUUGGUAGAGAAGAACGUUGGUGAGAGUGGAAAGCUCAUCAAGUGACGGUAACUACCCAGAAAGGGACGGCUAACUACGUG